rnacentral:rRNA from 1 species
GGACGGGUGAGUAAUGCUUGGGAACUUGCCCUAACGUGGGGGACAACAGUUGGAAACGACUGCUAAUACCGCAUAAUGUCUUCGGACCAAAGGUGGCCUCUAUUUAUAAGCUAUCGCGUUAGGAUGGGCCCAAGUGGGAUUAGCUAGUUGGUAAGGUAAAGGCUUACCAAGGCGACGAUCCCUAGUUGGUCUUAGAGGAUGACCAGCCACACUGGAACUGAGACACGGUCCAGACUCC